rnacentral:lncRNA from 1 species
GGAGCGCAGGCAGAAGUCACCGCGGGCGGCGGAGACGCGCGUCCUGCACCGCUGCUCCGGGCGGUGGAGUCACUCGCCGCUGGAAGGAAGACUGUACACAGAGAAUAAAUAACUUGGCCAAGCCAUUCAGCUAGGAAGUUGUAGAUCCUAAAUUAAGAGUUCAAGGUCUUAAUGGCUACUCUAUGCGGCCUCUCAUAGUCUUUUCAAGGGUUUUGGAGAAGAAUAAAAGAUCAGGUAUGGCUUCUCCCUCCCCCAGCUCUCUAUUGUUCCCUAAAGGAUUAUUCAUUCGUUCAUUCAUUCCUACAUCCUCCCAUUUAUUCCAGUCAUCCACAGAUGUUUGAGUGGUUACAAUGUGCCAGCCUCCCUUCUAGGUACUGGAGAUAAAGUGGGACAAGAGAGGUGAGGUCUGGACCCUUGGCACUUUCACGAUAAAAUACACAGGUAAACAUUUGCCUUUAGGGCCCCCUGUGAUUACUUCCACUCUUGCAGAUAAGAGGAUAAGGCCUCUUCAGCUUGUUCACAGCAGCUGAAAAGCAAAGCCUCUCUGUCAGUAGAGGUAAAAGAUUAAGAAUGCAGAGUCCGAUGGGGCAUUACCACAUGAUUAUGAAUUAAUGCAAUUUUCCAUCUUUUAUUUCCAAUCCAGGCAUUGCUUUUGAACUCAGUCAUCUUUUCCCCCUUGCCCACUAGUUGCUUGUGAUACAUCAGUAUCCUCACUCACCCCCAACUCCAGAGGCUGAAACUAACUCUCCUCCUCCCUCUUCCAACUGCUGAGGAAGAUGAGUCAAUGGUGUUACUGGACCCUGUGAACUGAUGCUGUGAAGAGAGGCCAUUUAACACGGACUACGGGGAAUGGUGCCACAGGGGGCUCAGUGCUGCCCUUCACUCUCAGCAUUUUGCUCACUCAGCAUUGAUGACAGGAUGUCCCAAAAGUAACAAAAGAUGGGAGCCAGUCCUCUCAUAGCUGUUUCUUCAAUCAUCCCAUCAACAGCUCUUCAUUUAUUGAACUACCUUCCUUUUCCAAAGAGGUAAUGCUGAGAUCAGUCAGAAAGGCUUUCUGAGAAAACUGGCUUGGAUUUCUGGGUCUGUUGCAGUCAAUUCAAGAUGAACUGGCUUGUAUCAAUGAAGCGCUCAAUGCAGUUCACAAAACAGGCCUCAGCCCGACUGUCCAACUUUGGCCCAGGCUUGUCCAUGCACUUCUCCCAACAAAGUUCAGUCAUCUGGUGCACCAGCUGCUGGAAGCGCUGCUUUUGAGUCUCUACCUCAAUGAAAAUGCUGCAACUGCGGGUCCACUGCACCCAAACCCGCCGCAGAGGAAGAGCAGGAGGAAUCCAUCCCAGGACAACCAUGCUUGCAGAGACGAACUCCGCACCAACCUUCACGUGUCUCCACGACCUAGUUAAUCAAUUUAAAAUGAGGUCACUAGGGUGGGCCCCAAUCCAAUAUGACUGAUAACUUUAUAAAAAGGAGAGAUUUGGAUACAGAAAGAGACAGAGUGAAAACCAUGUGAAGAAACAUAGGAAAAGAUGGCAGCUACAAGCCAAGGAGAAGCUUGCAGUGUGUAUUCAUCUGUUCUCAUGCUGUUAAUAAAGACAUACCUGAGACUGGGUAAUUUAUAAAGGAAA